rnacentral:misc_RNA from 1 species
GCAAACUUGGUCAUUUAGAGGAAGUAAAAGUCGUAACAAGGUUUCCGUAGGUGAACCUGCGGAAGGAUCAUUACCGAAUAAAAUCCGGCUGGGUUGCCGCUGUCCCCCUCUGGAGGAACGUGCGCACCUUGCUGUUGUUUCCACCUCUUCACCUGUGCACCUCCUUGUAGACCAGAUCGCCCGUUUGAUCCUUUUUUGCCGGAAGGGGCCCUCGGAUCUUUUGAGGACUUGCCGUGAUGGCUUUUCCUGGGGCUGAGCCUGGUCUAUGCCCUUUUAUCAAACCCAGUCGUAUAUGUCGUCGUUUAUCUUUUAAAAUACGUACUACAACUUUCGACAACGGAUCUCUUGGCUCCCGCAUCGAUGAAGAACGCAGC